rnacentral:rRNA from 1 species
GGAUAACUUACCCUUAGGACUGGGAUAACUCUGGGAAACUGGGGAUAAUACUGGAUAUUAGGCUAUGCCUGGAAUGGUUUGCCUUUGAAAUGUUUUUUCGCCUAAGGAUAGGUCUGCGGCUGAUUAGGUCGUUGGUGGGGUAAUGGCCCACCAAGCCGAUGAUCGGUACGGGUUGUGAGAGCAAGGGCCCGGAGAUGGAACCUGAGACAAGGUUCCAGACCCUACGGGGUGCAGCAGGCGCGAAACCUCCGCAAUGUACGAAAGUGCGACGGGGGGAUCCCAAGUGUUAUGCUUUUUUGUAUGACUUUUCAUUAGUGUAAAAAGCUUUUAGAAUAAGAGCUGGGCAAGACCGGUGCCAGCCGCCGCGGUAACACCGGCAGCUCGAGUGGUAGCUGUUUUUAUUGGGCCUAAAGCGUUCGUAGCCGGUUUGAUAAGUCUCUGGUGAAAGCUUGUAGCUUAACUAUAAGAAUUGCUGGAGAUACUAUUAGACUUGAAGUCGGGAGAGGUUAGAGGUACUACCGGGGUAGGGGUGAAAUCCUAUAAUCCUGGGAGGACCACCUGUGGCGAAGGCGUCUAACUGGAACGAUCUUGACGGUGAGUAACGAAAGCCAGGGGCGCGAACCGGAUUAGAUACCCGGGUAGUCCUGGCCGUAAACGAUGUGGACUUGGUGUUGGAAUGGCUUUGAGUUGUUCCGGUGCCGAAGGGAAGCUGUUAAGUCCACCGCCUGGGAAGUACGGUCGCAAGA